GUGGGGAAUCUUGCGCAAUGGCCGAAAGGCUGACGCAGCGACGCCGCGUGGGGGAGGAAGGCCUUCGGGUUGUAAACCCCUGUUGCCCGGGACGAAUGCGCUUGAUUGCAGGCGUUGACGGUACCGGGUGAGGAAGCACCGGCUAACUCCGUGCCAGCAGCCGCGGUAAUACGGAGGGUGCGAGCGUUGUCCGGAAUCACUGGGCGUAAAGGGCGCGUAGGCGGCUCAUGAAGGCUGUGGUGAAAGUCCGGGGCUCAACCUCGGAUCGGCCGUGGCGACUCGUGGGCUGGAGCACUGUAGAGGCGGGUGGAAUUCCGGGUGUAGCGGUGGAAUGCGUAGAGAUCCGGAAGAACACCAGUGGCGAAGGCGGCCCGCUGGGCAGUGGCUGACGCUGAAGCGCGACAGCGUGGGGAGCAAACAGGAUUAGAUACCCCAGUAGUCC
rnacentral:rRNA from 1 species